rnacentral:rRNA from 1 species
CACGGAGUUAGCCGGUGCUUAUUCGUACAGUACCUUCAGCUAGAUACUCGUAUCUAGGUUUAUCCCUGUACAAAAGAAGUUUACAAACCAUAGGUCCUUAUUCCUUCACGCGGGAUGGCUGGAUCAGGCUUGCACCCAUUGUCCAAUAUUCCUCACUGCUGCCUCCCGUAGGAGUCUGGUCCGUGUCUCAGUACCAGUGUGGGGGAUCACCCUCUCAGGCCCCCUAAAGAUCAUUGACUUGGUGAGCCGUUACCUCACCAACUAUCUAAUCUUGCGCGUGCCCAUCUUUAUCCGCCGGAGCUUUCAAUAUUAAUCGAUGCCAAUCAAUAUAUUAUGGGAUAUUAAUCUUCCUUUCGAAAGGCUAUCUCCCAGAUAAAGGCAGGUUGCACACGUGUUCCGCACCCGUACGCCGCUCUCAUCAAAGACUAGCAAGCUAGUCCUUAAAUCCCGCUCGGCUUGCAUGUGUUAGGCCUCCCGCUAGCGUUCA